GCGGACAUCGUAUAAUGGCAAUUACCUCAGCCUUCCAAGCUGAUGACGCGGGUUCAAUUCCCGCUGUCCGCU
rnacentral:tRNA from 1 species